UAUCCAGUGAGUUCUGGAAGACUAGUGAUUUUGUUGUUAUAUAUAUCACAGAACAAUAAAUCACAGUUUUCUCCGAUCUCACGUGGGUG
rnacentral:pre_miRNA from 2 species